UUUUUAGAGCCACAAAGAAUGCUCCCUGGGAAGAAAGAAGCAGCACAAAACCCCAAUCAGAUGGAAGGUUGAUCCACCAUUUGUGCAAUGCAUUGAUCUACAGACAAGAAUUAAUUAUGGAAUUCAACAGCUUCUGUCAAAAUGAGGAAAGAAACUCAGGAAGAUGAAGGAACUUCCGAAGAACAUAUAGAAUGUCAUUGCAAGGCAGACCAAAUAUGACAAUUUAAAUGUGUCCCCCGGGGCUUAUGUUGCAACAAUGUCAAAAAUUCUCGUGAUCCUGGUUGAUAUGGACAGUCUGACCCCCAGCUGCAGCCCUUGGAAAAGGAAACUCUGCUGCCCAGAAUACAGAACAAAUAAGACCUUUUCUUAUAAAGGGUUCUGUCAAAGGUCUUUUUUAUUUAUUUUGCCUUUUGUCACACUCAAUCAGAAGUCUGAAUAUUAAAAUUCUUUCCUGCUGUU